rnacentral:rRNA from 1 species
UACGUAGGGCGCAAGCGUUAUCCGGAAUUAUUGGGCGUAAAGAGCUCGUAGGCGGUUUGUCGCGUCUGCCGUGAAAGUCCGGGGCUCAACUCCGGAUCUGCGGUGGGUACGGGCAGACUAGAGUGAUGUAGGGGAGACUGGAAUUCCUGGUGUAGCGGUGAAAUGCGCAGAUAUCAGGAGGAACACCGAUGGCGAAGGCAGGUCUCUGGGCAUUAACUGACGCUGAGGAGCGAAGCAUGGGGAGCGAACAGG